rnacentral:rRNA from 1 species
UACGAAGGGAGCUAGCGUUGUUCGGAAUCACUGGGCGUAAAGCGCGUGUAGGCGGAACGCUAAGUCUGUGGUGAAAGCGCCUGGCUCAACCGGGCGAGGUCCAUGGAAACUAGCGCUCUCGAGGCCGGUAGAGGGGGGUGGAAUUCCGGGUGUAGUGGUGAAAUGCGUAGAGAUCCGGAGGAACACCAGUGGCGCAGGCGGCCCCCUGGGCCGCGCCUGACGCUGAGACGCGAAAGCGCGGGGAGCGAACGGG